AACCCAAGCACAAAAAGAUUCACCACACUCUCUUUACCAAUGGUCUCUCCCGGAACCUUUAAAUGGUGUCUGGACCCCCGGGGAAACAUUUGCCCAAACACCCUGAAGAGGACACAGGCAAGAAAGACAACCACCACAUUCCUUGAUGAGGAGCAGCUGUGCAGGAUCUGAAUCAAGGCUACCAACUGAUUUUAAAAUUCCCAAUAAAUAAUCAAUAAAUAUU